UACGAAGGGGGCUAGCGUUGCUCGGAAUCAUUGGGCGUAAAGGGCGCGUAGGCGGCCUUGUAAGUCAAAGGUGAAAUCCCUCGGCUCAACUGAGGAACUGCCUUUGAAACUGCAAGGCUUGAGGCCGGGAGGGGGUAGCGGAAUUCCCAAUGUAGCGGUGAAAUGCGUAGAUAUUGGGAGGAACACCAGUGGCGAAGGCGGCUACCUGGACCGGUUCUGACGCUGAGGCGCGAAAGCGUGGGUAGCAAACAGG
rnacentral:rRNA from 1 species